rnacentral:tRNA from 1 species
ACUUUUAAAGGAUAAAAGUAAUCCACUGGUCUUAGGCGCCAAAAACCUUGGUGCAAAUCCAAGUAAAAGUA